GCAUUCAUCAUGCUGUAACUCGUCCCUGUUUUUUUUUUUGGAAUUAGGACUUGCAUUCAUCAUGGAGCAUGAUUACAAUCUGCCACUAACAAGCUGUGGAUGCACGACGGGUCCAACGCCACACCACUGUCUCUACGGUUAAAAGUAGAAACAUGGAGUGAAAAAAUGAAUACGAGGAUUCUCUCCAUUAAUUAAAUGAGUGGUAUGGUUACAUAUUUAUAUAAGAGGAGAGGAUAUGCCCAAAGGUCACCAUAUCCCUUGGAAUUCACACCCUUCCAUGAAAGGUCUUGUACAGUUGUCUCUAAUCCUAGUUGAUCACUAAAAAAAUAUUUCACAACACUCCCCCUUGAUCAAUUAGCUAGUUGUAAGCUUCAUGUCAUCCUUAUUCAAUUAUGUUUGAUUAUCAUAAGGGAAAAAC
rnacentral:lncRNA from 1 species